AGUGGCAGACGGGUGAGUAACAUGUGGGUANCNACCCUUUGGCCUGGAAUAACACGAGGAAACUUGUGCUAAUACCGGAUAAGUCUUUACGGAGAAAGCUUUAUGCACCAUUGGAUGAGCCCGCACUUGAUUAGUUUGUUGGUAGGGUAAUGGCCUACCAAGACUAUGGUCAAUAGCUGAUUUGAGAGGAUGAUCAGCCACAUUGGGACUGAGACACGGCCCAAACUCCUACGGGAGGCAGCAGUGGGGAAUCUUGCACAAUGGAGGAAACUCUGAUGCAGCGAUGGCGCGUGAGUGAAGAAGGCCUUUGGGUUGUAAAGCUCUUUCGUCGGGGAAGAAAAUGACUGUACCCGAAUAAGAAGGUCCGGCUAACUUCGUGCCAGCAGCCGCGGUAAUACGAAGGGACCUAGCGUAGUUCAGAAUUACUGGGCUUAAAGAGUUCGUAGGUGGUUGAAAAAGUUGGUGGUGAAAUCCCAGAGCUUAACUCUGGAACUGCCAUCAAAACUUUUCAGCUAGAGUAUGAUAGAGGAAAGCAGAAUUUCUAGUGUAGAGGUGAAAUUCGUAGAUAUUAGAAAGAAUACCAAUUGCGAAGGCAGCUUUCUAGAUCAUUACUGACACUGAGGAACGAAAGCAUGGGUAGCGAAGAGGAUUAGAUACCCUCGUAGUCCAUGCCGA
rnacentral:rRNA from 1 species